UUUUGCCAAGUCUAGCUGUUCCAGUGCCCCUGUGCCCGGCCCAAGGCUCCCAGUCACGUGUACGGCGGGCACGGCAGCCACGUGACCAACGUGCGCUUCACGCACGACGACGGGCACCUGGUGUCGCUGGGCGGGAAGGACACCAGCGUCUUCCAGUGGCGCGUGCUGCCCGGCGACAGCGGCUGAGGCCCCGCCGCCUCCUCCUCCUCUUCCUCGCUGCUUCCUCCUCCCUUUUCCCCUUUCCUGGGACCAAAGAGCGGCUCGGGGGUCGGUUGGAAGCCUUCCUCCCGGCCGCGUUUUUCGCGCUGCACUGUGAGAGGCGUCAAUAAAAGCCUUUGGGGUCAGGG